rnacentral:tRNA from 1 species
GAUCAGCUGGCGCAAGGGGGCGAGCUGGUGCUGGAGACGCUGGUGGUUGAAGGAGAUGAAAAUACGGUGCUGGUUCCGGGCGACCGCUAUGCGC